rnacentral:SRP_RNA from 1 species
GCCAGGUGUGGUGGUGCACGCCUGUAAUCCCAGCUACUCAGGAGGCUGAGGCAGGAGAAUUGCUUGAACCCAGGAAGCAGGGGUUGCAGUGAGCCAAGAUUAUGCCACUGCACUCCAACCUGGGUGACAGAGUGAGACUCUGCCUCAA